rnacentral:rRNA from 1 species
UACUAGAGUAGCACUCGCAUAUCAAUAAGCGGAGGAAAAGAAACUAACAAGGAUUCCCUUAGUAACGGCGAGUGAAGCGGGAAGAGCUCAAAUUUGAAAUCUUCAAGGUUUUACCUUGACGAAUUGUAGUUUAAAGAAGUGUUUUCUGUUGGAGUUUUGGUAAAAGUUCUUUGGAAUAGGACAUCAUAGAGGGUGAGAAUCCCGUAUUUGACCAUUAUUUCCAGCUGUGUGAUACACUUUCAAAGAGUCGGAUUGUUUGGGAAUGCAGUCCAAAUGGGUGGUAAAUUUCAUCUAAAGCUAAAUAUUGGCGAGAGACCGAUAGCGAACAAGUACCGUGAGGGAAAGAUGAAAAGAACUUUGAAAAGAGAGUUAAACAGUACGUGAAAUUGUCAAAAGGGAAGCGUUUGACACCAGUGUUGUUUUCUCGAAAAUCAAUUAAAAAUGAUGGGAUUUUGUGUUGUAUUGACUUUAUCAGCUUUCUGCACUUUUUUCUUAUCUUUUUUGAUGCACUUUUCGUUUAACAAGUCAACAUCAAUUUCUUUUGUUGUAAAAGAGUCAUUGGAAGGUGGCUUUUUCUUCGGAAAAAGUGUUUAUAGCCUUUGGCUUCUGCAAUCGGAGAGAUUGAGGUCUGCAGCGUAGAUCCUUCGGGGUUAGAUACAUUUGUGCUAAGCUAUAGUUCUUUAUAGACAACUUGUUGACUAUAAUCAAUCCUGUAACUUACUCGCUUAUGCUAUUUUACCUACGCUUAGGAUGUUGAUAGUCACAGCGUGUAC